ACAAGGAUGCAUCACAUUAGGAAACUUUUGGCAGGAAGUCAGUGGGUGCGAUGGUUCCUGGGAUUCCUCACAUACUUCUCACAAGGGUGCCUGAGACCAGGUUUGAGGACAAGCCCAUGUACCUGCAACGUAGGAAGCUGUGUAUCACAUUGCAACAAGGAAUGAUCCUGGCCCUGGUAAAGUCAACAGCAACAGUCAUCACAGGCGAAUCUGCCUAUCAGGGAUUGGAGACUCUCUAAACUCCCGCCUCUCAACCCAGGAAUCAGAGCCUGAGACAGAGAGAUGCUUCAUUCCUGCAUGAGGUGGUAUUCCCGCCAUGAGUCCUGGGCUUCUCCACUGGAUGGCCCUUUGUCUCCUUGGAACGGGUCAUGGGGAUGUCAUGGUCAUCCAGAACCCAAGAUACCAGGUUACUCAGUCGGGAAAGCCAGUGACCUUGAGUUGUUCUCAGAAUCUGAACCAUAAGGUCAUGUACUGGUACCAGCAGAAGCCAAGUCAGGCCCCAAAGCUACUGUUCCACUACUAUGACAAAGAUUUUAACAAUGAAGCAGACACCCCUGAUAACUUCCAAUCCAGGAGGCCGAACACUUCUUUCUGCUUUCUUGACAUCCGCUCACCAGGCCUGGAGGAUGCAGCUGUGUACCUGUGUGCCAGCAGCAAAGACACAGAGCUACAGUGCUGCCUCCCCUUUGUUCAUAAACCUCAUUGUUUCCCACUUCCAGGUGCUUUCUCUAGGACUUCUCCCCCACCACCUCUCACAACAAUAGGAAGUGGGUUUGUGACUGUCAAUAUCUCAUCUGUAGACAGAGUUGAGCACAAACCAAUAAAAACCAUUGACAGUUAUGCCAAGAAUGGAAAAGUGGUAAUACAUGCCUGACAUUCAGUUGGUGGUAUUUUCCCAGAAUUACAUUUAGAACCCAUGCUAUCCUUUUCAGAAGAUGAACAGGAGUUUUUUCUUUCUUUUUUUCAUUGUUUUAAUCUAAGUCAGAGGCUUAGAAAUAUAAGAGGUGAUAUGUGAAGAAUGAUGGAGACCCAAUGUCAUAUAAACUCAAGUCUCUGGCAUUCGAUUAAUUUUUAUAGGAUUUAAUCUUCCUGAGGAAUCCACGUUUUUAGCCCAGACCUGGAGCAACUACCUCAUUAAUGGGAGAAUGAAAGCACAGGUGUCCCAAAAUAAAAAUCUCUCAGAGGAAAAACCACAUUGGAGAGGGAAAAAAAAGAAGACCAUACAUUAAUCUGCUCAUAUCUGGAGCUGGAGGUACUAUUGUGACGACCAAAUGGAAAUCAUAAAUAUAUAAAGAAAAGAUGCUGAAAAUAGAGUACAUUUGGAGAUGAAGAUCAUGGAGCCAUCUGUAUAGAAGACAGUAAUAAUGUCAUUAAGAUGCAUAAGAGCGCCAUCAAAAGUCAAUAAGAAAAACUACAGGAGGGAAGAAGAUGGAAGAUCCUGCUCCCCUUAACAAAGAUAAACAAAAUGCUGAGUGAGAAAUAUUGCAACCUCAUAAAUUGUCACAUGAAAGUAUAUAAUUACAAAUUACUUGAUAAUUAAAAUCCC